AAGUCGUAACAAGGUUUCCGUAGGUGAACCUGCGGAAGGAUCAUUAAUGAAUAUUAGGGUACUCUUUUAACAAGGGGCCUGACUUUCAUUCUUCUACACUGUGCACUAUUAUUCAAUUCGGUCAGUUGGUAGUUUGGCCGUCUCCGGCCUUACGACGCUGCCGGGUUUCAUUUUUAAACUCUACAAGUCUAAGAAUGUAACAAACCUAAAACCAAAAAAAAACUUUCAACAACGGAUCUCUUGGCUCUC
rnacentral:misc_RNA from 1 species